rnacentral:rRNA from 1 species
GACGAACGCUGGCGGCGUGCCUAAUACAUGCAAGUUGAGCGAUGAAGAUUGGUGCUUGCACCAAUUUGAAGAGCAGCGAACGGGUGAGUAACGCGUGGGGAAUCUGCCUCUGAGCGGGGGACAACAUUUGGAAACGAAUGCUAAUACCGCAUAACAACUUUAAACAUAAGUUUUAAGUUUGAAAGAUGCAAUUGCAUCACUCAAAGAUGAUCCCGCGUUGUAUUAGCUAGUUGGUGAGGUAAAGGCUCACCAAGGCGAUGAUACAUAGCCGACCUGAGAGGGUGAUCGGCCACAUUGGGACUGAGACACGGCCCAAACUCCUACGGGAGGCAGCAGUAGGGAAUCUUCGGCAAUGGACGAAAGUCUGGCCGAGCAACGCCGCGUGAGUGAAGAAGGUUUUCGGAUCGUAAAACUCUGUUGGUAGAGAAGAACGUUGGUGAGAGUGGAAAGCUCAUCAAGUGACGGUAACUACCCAGAAAGGGACGGCUAACUACGUG